GGGCAAAUCGGUAGUGCGUUUCUCGCGGCCACCUCCCACCCGUGUCUCUCUCUACCUGUUGCUUUGGCGGGCCCACCGGGGCCACCCGGUCGCCGGGGGACGUCCGUCCCCGGGCCCGCGCCCGCCGAAGCGCUCUGUGAACCCUGAUGAAGAUGGGCUGUCUGAGUCGAAUGAAAAUUGUCAAAACUUUCAACAAUGGAUCUCUUGGUUCCGGCAUCGAUGAAGAACGCAGCGAAAUGCGAUAAGUAAUGUGAAUUGCAGAAUUCCGUGAAUCAUCGAAUCUUUGAACGCACAUUGCGCCCCCUGGCAUUCCGGGGGGCAUGCCUGUCCGAGCGUCAUUUCUGCCCUCAAGCCCGGCUUGUGUGUUGGGCGUGGUCCCCCCGGGGACCUGCCCGAAAGGCAGCGGCGACGUCCGUCUGGUCCUCGAGCGUAUGGGGCUUUGUCACUCGCUCGGGACGGAUCGGCGGAGGUUGGUCACCACCACAGUUUUACCACGGUUGACCUCGGAUCAGGUAGGAGUUACCCGCUGAACUUAAGCAUAUCAAAAAGCGGGAGGAAC
rnacentral:rRNA from 1 species